GCGUGAACACAGUCAGCCCACUGCUUAGCUGGUCAAGGUCAACAUCCUCUCUUCCUGAGCAGCCCAGUACUAAUGUGGCCCUUUUCUCCCCUAUUAUGGACUGUUUAACCCCUGGAAUGAAGAGACUUACAGACAGGGAGACAAAUCAUGCUGAGAGGAUUGCAUGAUCCUCUCAGGCGAGGGGUGAGGUUGACAAGCAUAUAUGGUAACCUGAUCUGGUGCAGGAAGUGAACCCUCACUGUCAGUGUCUCUCUGGAUCACCAACCAGCUAUCUUGCCAACGCUUAACGAACCUCUGGUAGCUGGAAGCUUUAAAAAUCUCAAGUAAGAGUCCAGACUUGGCAGAAUGCCUGGGAGUGAUGUGGAGCAGCAACUAGCAGAUGUUCUGAGUCUUAUGUCAACCAAUUGCCAACAUCUGAGGCACAAGGCUGCACAUGCCACCCACUAAAUGCC